rnacentral:rRNA from 1 species
ACAUGACUACAACAUAUUGUUAAUGCAUUGAAUCCCAUUAUAACUUCGUAGUUAAGCAUGCUCGGGCUAGUGUAGUAAUGGGAUGGGUGACCGCUCGAGAAGUCCUAGUAUUUUACAUGCC